UACGGAGGAUGCAAGUGUUAUCCGGAAUCACUGGGCGUAAAGCGUCUGUAGGUGGUUUGCUAAGUCCGCUGUUAAAGCUUGAAGCUCAACUUCGAAAAUGCAGUGGAAACUAGUAGACUUGAGUGUGGUAGGGGUAGAGGGAAUUUCCAGUGAAGUGGUGAAAUGCGUAGAUAUUGGAAAGACCACCAAUGGCGAAGGCACUCUACUGGGCCACAACUGACACUGAGAGACGAAAGCUAGGGGAGCAAAAGGG
rnacentral:rRNA from 1 species